rnacentral:misc_RNA from 1 species
GAUGAAGAACGCAGCGAAAUGCGAUAAGUAAUGUGAAUUGCAGAAUUCAGUGAAUCAUCGAAUCUUUGAACGCACAUUGCGCCCGCCAGAAUUCUGGCGGGCAUGCCUGUUCGAGCGUCAUUUCAACCAUCAAGCCCCAGGCUUGUGUUGGGGACCUGCGGCUGCCGCAGGCCCUGAAAACCAGUGGCGGGCUCGCUGUCACACCGGGCGUAGUAGAUUUUAUCUCGCUCAGGGCGUGCUGCGGGUUCCGGCCGUUAAAAAGCCUUUUUUACCCAAGGUUGACCUCGGAUCAGGUAGGAAGACCCGCUGAACUUAAGCAUAUCAAUAAGCGGAGGA